UUUCUCUCUCUGCUCCUCCCCCACUUGCACAGCGCUCUCUCUCUCUGUCUCCCCCCAAAUAAAUAAAUAUUUUUAAAAAAUCAAUCAAUCAAAAUUGACCUGAACAGACACAGAUGUUAUAAUUAGCAGCCCAGGAUGUGAAACCAGCUAUUAUAACUGUAUUCCAUAUGUUCAAAAACAUGUAUGACUUUAAAAAGAUGCAAACCAAACCUUUGGAGAUAAAAACUAUAAUAAGUGAGAUGAAAAUUGUACUCCCUAAGAUUAAUAGCAGAUCACACUUUGCAAAAGAACCUUUUAGUGAAUAGGAAGACAUAACAGUGAAGCUAUUGAAAAUUAUACUGGGGAAAAAAGUUUUAAAAAUGAAAAAAGCAGGGCACGUGGGUGGUUCAUUUGGAUGACUGUCUAACUCUUGAUUUCAGUUCAGGUCAUGAUUCCAGGAUUGUGGGAUCCAGCCCCAAUUAAGGCUCUGCACUGAGUGUAGAGCCUGCUUUUCUCUCUCUCUCUCUCUCUUUCCCCCUCCUACCCGUUCCCUACUCAUGCAUAUGCUCCCUCCCUCUCUCACUCUCAAAGAAAAAAGAAAAAGAAAAAACCAUCAAUACACAUGGGACAACUUCACACAGCCUAAUAUAUACAUAAUUGGAGACUCUGAAGAAAAGGCGGGAGUACAGAAAAAUUAUUUGAAGAAAUAAUGGCCCAAAUUUUUCUCAAUUUGAUGAAACUUUACACUUACACAUCCAAGAAUUUCAAUGAGCCCCAGGUACAAGGAACCUGAAGAGAACUACACUAAUAUGCAUAUGAUCCAAUUGCUCAAUACUUGUGGUGAAGAGAACAUUUUAGAAACAGCUAGAGAAAAAAGACACAUUACAUACAGAAGAGAAAAUAUAAGGAUAGCUGCAGAUUUCUCAUUGGAAACAGUACAAGUGAGAAGGCAAGGGAGCAAAAUAGUUUAAGUACCAAAAAGAAAAAAAUAAACCUGUCAGUCAAAAUCCUAUACCCAGCAAAAGUAUCUUCAGAAAUGAAGACAUGUACCAUACAGAUCUUUUUGGACAUACAAAAUCUGACAGAAUUCAUCACCAGCAGCACUACACUAUAAGACAUAUUAAAGGAGGGGCACCUGGGUGGCUCAGUUGGUUGAGCGUCAAACUCUGUCUUUCGGCUCAGGUCAUGAUCCCAUCGUUCUUGGGUUUGGGCUCCGCUCUGGCAGUGUGGAGCCUACUUGGGAUUCUCUCUCACUCUCUGCCCUCCCCCACUCAUGCUCUCUCUCUCUCUCUCUCUCUCUCUCUGUCUCUGUCUCUGUCUCUCUCUCUCAGGAUAAAUAAAUAAACCUAAAAAUAAAAAAAGGAAAAAGAAAUGUUAAAGGAAGUCCUUCAGGCAGGAGGAAGAUGAUACCAGAUAGAAACAUAGGUCUCCCCUAAGGAAUGAAGAGCACUGGAAAAGAUGCUAAGAGUAUCUCCACACAGUGAGAGUGUGGAAGUCCUGCCCUAAGCCUCACCUCAUCCCUCAUCUGGCCCUUCUUUCCUUGGAUGCCUCAUCUCCUUAUCCAUUCACAACAAGUGUUCUGAGUGUCCACCAUGUGCCAGACAUGCUUGAGUCACUAGUGACACAGACACAUGUGCACUGAUAACUACUUGGUCCUUGUUCUGCCAGAGGAGGGCCCACAUCCACCUCACCCAAUGCUGGAAAGGAGCAACCAGGGAAAGAUUGGCUUUUAUCACCUGAUAAACCCUGAUAUUGUCACAAAACCAUCAGUAAUUCUUCUCAUCUAUUCUGUAGGCCUGUUCAUCUUUCCUAAAAGUCAUUUGUUUUCCUUGUAAGUAAGUACCUUCUCCUCCUCUGCUUCUCCUAUUAAGUUGGUAUAUAAGCUCCCACAUUCUAAUUGCCUAGUACUUAAUAAAAAUCUUUUUUCUUGAUAAUCUGUCAGUUUAAUCCACAGA